rnacentral:misc_RNA from 1 species
GGAAAAAAGUCGUAACAAGGUUUCCGUAGGUGAACCUGCGGAAGGAUCAUUAUUGUAUAACCGAGGUGCGAGGGCUGUCGCUGACCCGAAAGGUCGUGCACGCCCGAGUGCCCUCACACACAUCCAUCUCACCCCUAUGUGCACCACCGCGUGGGUCCCCCUUUGGCUUGUUCGGAGGGGGGCUUACGUUUUCACACAAACUUUGUAUGCAGUGUAGAAUGUAUUUUUUGUUUUUGCGAUCACGCAAUCAAUACAACUUUCAACAACGGAUCUCUUGGCUCUC